GACUUCUGGUUUAAUGCACCUGGCCCGCGGCCCACAAGGCCUGUGAGUGCCGGCGCGCUUUUGCCAUCCUUCCAGCAACGGCUAUCCUUAACUGGGCGGCUGGAACUGGAUCUUUUACUUUGAAAAAAUUAGAGUGUUUAAAGCAGGCGUUUGCUCUGAAUACAUUAGCAUGGGACUUCGGUUCUAUUUUGUUGGUUUCUCUAACUGACGUCGUGAUUGCUCGGGAUAGUUGGGGGUGCUCGUCUUGGCCGGUCAGCGGUGAAAUUCUUGGAUUCGGUCAAGACUAACUUAUGCGAAAGCAUU
rnacentral:rRNA from 1 species